CCCCCCCCCCCCCCCCCCCCCCCCCCCCGUAGCCUCAGGUGUACUCAGGUGCCCCCAGGUAUCCCCCAGUUGCCCCCAGGUGUCCCCAGGUGCCCCCAGGUAUCCCUCACGUGCCCCCAGGUGCCCCCCAGGUGCCCCAGGUGCCCCAGUCCCACCUGGUAGUUGGACUUGCCCUGGCGGGACACGAAGCGCUCGUCGUUCACCAGCCGGGCCAGCACCUGCGCGGCCUCGUCCAGGCGGCCGACGGAGCGCAGGUACGACACGUACUGCUCGGCCUCCUCGGGGCACAGCUGGGGACAGCAGUGCCACCUGAGUGCCACCUGAGUGCCACCUGAGUGCCACCUGAGUGCCACCUCUGUCACCCGAGUGUCACCUGAGUGCCACCUGACCCCCCACGUACUGCUCGGCCUCCUCGGGGCACAGCUGGGGACAGCAGUGUCACCUGAGUGCCACCUGAGUGCCACCUGUGCCACCUGUGUCACCCGAGUGUCACCUGAGUGCCACCUGACCCCCCACGUACUGCUCGGCCUCCUCGGGGCACAGCUGGGGACAGCAGUGCCACCUGAGUGCCACCUGAGUGCCACCUGUGUCACCUGUGUCACCCGAGUGUCACCUGAGUGCCACCUGACCCCCCACGUACUGCUCGGCCUCCUCGGGGCACAGCUGGGGACAGCAGUGUCACCUGAGUGCCACCUCAGGAUCACCUGAUCCUCUCAGUGUCACCUGCAUGUCCCUGCCCUCAGCUGGGUGUCUGUGUGUCCCCAGAUGUGUGUCCCUGUCCCCAGGUGUGCCCAGGUACCCCCAGGUGUGUGUCUGUGCGUCCAGCUGUGCCCAGGUGUGUGCCCAGGUGUGUGUCUGUGUACCCAGGUGUGUGCCCAGGUGUGUGUCUGCGUACCCAGGUGUGUGCCCAUGUCCCCAGGUGUGUGUCUGUGUGCCCAGGUGCGCCCAGGUGUGCCCAUGCCCUCAUACCUUGAGGAAGCUGCGGAAGACGCACACGGUGGUCUCACGCAGCAGAUGUGUGUGAGUGUGUGCCCAGGUGCACCCAGGUGUGGCCAGGAGUGUGCCCAGGUGUGUGCCCAGGUGUGUGCCCAGGUGUGUGCCCAGGUGUGUGCCCAGGUGUGUGCCCAGGUGUGUGCCCAGGUGUGUGCCCAGGUGUGUGCCCAGGUGUGUGCCCAGGUGUGUGCCCAGGUGUGUGCCCAGGUGUGUGCCCAGGUGUGUGCCCAGGUGUGUGCCCAGGUGUGUCCCCCCCCCCCCCCCCCCCCCCCCCCCCCCCCCCCCCCCCCCCCCCCCCCCCCCCCCCCCCCCCCCCCCCCCCCCCCCC
rnacentral:lncRNA from 12 species